rnacentral:rRNA from 2 species
GGAAGUAAAAGUCGUAACAAGGUCUCCGUUGGUGAACCAGCGGAGGGAUCAUUACAGAGUUGCAAAACUCCCACAAACCAUCGCGAAUCUUACCCGUACGGUUGCCUCGGCGCUGGCGGUCCGGAAAGGCCUUCGGGCCCCGACGGACCCUCGGGUCUCCCUCUCGGGGGAGACCGCCCGCCGGAGUGCCGAAACCAAACUCUUGAUAUUUUAUGUCUCUCUGAGUAAACUUUUAAAUAAGUCAAAACUUUCAACAACGGAUCUCUUGGUUCUGGCAUCGAUGAAGAACGCAGCGAAAUGCGAUAAGUAAUGUGAAUUGCAGAAUUCAGUGAAUCAUCGAAUCUUUGAACGCACAUUGCGCCCGCCAGUAUUCUGGCGGGCAUGCCUGUUCGAGCGUCAUUUCAACCAUCAAGCUCUGCUUGCGUUGGGGAUCCGCGGCUGCCCGCGGUCCCUCAAAACCAGUGGCGGGCUCGCUAGUCACACCGAGCGUAGUAAUUAUACAUCGCUAUGGUCGUGCGGCGGGUUCUUGCCGUAAAACCCCCAAUUUUCUAAGGUUGACCUCGGAUCAGGUAGGAAUACCCGCUGAACUUAAGCAUAUCAAUAAGCGGAGGA